UUUUCUGUUCCCCACUCUCGCGGAUGAGCAUCGCUUUCCGGGGAGAGAGAGGUUGCAAGGAAGCUUGCGACGAUGCGAGGAAGAGCCGCCUUCUUCUGCUUGGCGCGCCCCCGCCCUCUUCUUGCUCGCUGGAAUUGUUCGUCGUUCUCCGCCUCGUCCCCUCAGGAUCUCUCGACGGUGGCCGCGUGCCCCUAUUGUGGCUGUUGGAACUCGAUAACGUAGCAGGAACCCAGCCGAGGUGGUCGCUUGCCCUGAUCGAAUGAGCGCCUGUGUCUUUGAUCCGUUUCCAAGCUUUUGGUAACCACCCUAACCAAUUUGAUUGAUUUCCUCCUCCUUUCUUCUCUUUUGCAUUUGAAAUUCUAUUAUGAUAAACAUGUAGUUUUCUCCUUCAAUUUUAUUGCAAAUAUCUUGCAGAACAUACAUGAUAUACUUAGGUGAGAGAAUGAGAAAGAUAUCCAUUUUACAUGUAUUUAAAUAUAUCAAGGGAAAUGUGAGGAGGGUGCGUAUCUAUUAUGAUUGUUCGUCUCCUUGCAAUGAUCAACUUCUGACUGGGAUAAGACUAGGCAUCUACUGAUUUAGCAUUUUAUGUGGGCAAAGAUUAGGGCCUUGCAUCUAAGUUCUUGUAAUUAGAAAAUUUAAUGCAUAUAUCCAAGCUUUAAAAUAUGGAAUUAUUCAGAACUUUGUAAUAAAAAAGAGUUGUACUGAAAUUCUUGGUGGUUGUCCAGUUAUACAAAUUAAUAUACUUUGUAAAACGUUUGGGUGUAGAGCAUGUAUCCAACAUGUUGGUCGCUACAUGUGCUAAGGAGUCGAUGAAAAGACAUAGAUAGCACCAUUAGGACUUUCAAUGAUAAAUCGAGCUUCUACAGGAUUUGGUGGCAUAUCACUGAGAUGGUGGGAGCCAUUUUGAAUUUUCUUUUGUUGUAUGUCAUGUUUCUUUCAGGUUGAAAAAGUUCUUGAUCAUUCUUCUCUCUUUUACAUUUUAAUAUUUCCAUGAGUCACCCGAUGGUGUGUUCAAUUGAUUAUGCUAAUAUGUUUGCCCUGAGAAAAUUAAACAUGUUGCUACAAUGAAACAAGAACUUGUCCGGUGCAUGAUUUAUAAAAGGUAGAUUAGUCUCGUGGGGGAGCAUCAAAUGAGACGGUUACUUCCUUUUAAAAAGAUCUUGUAGUUUCCUUGAGAUCAUGGACAAAUAAUUCAAAAGGCAAUUUGCCCCACUAAGUGCUGCUAACUUAAGUAGGACUUGGUUAUUCUCAGGCCAGUGUUGCCGGUAAGUAGGGAACAAAUGAGACCAGAGGAUAACCUCUGAAAUUAUAUCUAUGAUGAAGAUUUGCUUUAGGAAACAAUCACUUUCCAGAAGUUUGUACUAUUUUUGUAUGUCUUCAGCUAAGGUGCAUCAAGUGCAGAACUGAAAGACCAGAGGUAUGCUGCUUAGAUUGCAGCUUAGAUUGCAAUUUGCAAUGUAUACAAUGUGGUGAUUAUGUUAGUGCAUCCUCACUUGUGCUUUGGCCCAAACCUGCAUUAAGAAAUUUCAUCAACCAGCAUUAAGUUCAAUCUUCUGUUUUCGUAUUAAUGCUAUCAGUUCAAUUGACAUUUUAGCAUAAAAUUUUCUAGCAAGGAAUAUAUGAUCUCUCUUUUAUCCUAUGCUUAGCAGCUAGGAAUGACUGUCCUUAUAUUGUGAGUUCCACGACUUAAGUAGUUUUCUAAUACUCAGGUUUAGGUAUUGAGAUUGAAACUUCAUGCAUUGUCUUUUCCAGAAUUUGCCACAGCAUAACAUUGUGAGACAGUAGUAUAGAUGGCCAAGUUUAGGCUUAGGACAUUGGCCAUAUGGAGGGAGAAAUUGAAGAGAGUUUUAUGGAAACGAAGAAUGAGGUACUCUUUACAAAUGUUUUCUGUGUAGGGAUAAUCACGGUUAUGCAUGUUCCUCACCUUUAGAUCAAGAUUCUGGAUGUUAAGACUAAUUGUUUUUAAAGAAAGUUUAUUAUGUCGGUUAUUUGGUAUUAAGCUUCUUAGUAUAGGAGAAGUAUAUUAUGUCAUUAUUUAAAUAUAUUUCAUUGUAGUGAUGCACUUUAUUCCAUUAUUCUCUUUAUCUUUUUUCCUGUAUGUGGUUGUUUUAUAUCGCCUAUUGAUUCUCAUUGAUGGAUGUCUGACAUAAAAAAUUCAACUUAAUGCUGAUUAUGAUCAAAAUUAUUUAUACUCUUCAUGACAUUUUAAAUUCUAUUAUGCUAUUUGAGAUUCUGCAUUAUGCAUUUAUCAAAAUUUUACUAUCUAUUUGUCACAUUAUGCUAUUUCAGACGUCUUCAUUUCAACUACUAUAGAACCUUUGUUUAAUAGGAGUAACUUCUCCUAUGGUUACAGUGUUAUUAAGCCCUUCUCAUUACUUGAUGAAGUAUUCUUUCAUUUUACUCUGUUUUAAAAUAUUUAUCCUAAAUUCUCAUAUUUACUUGCUUGUGCGUAAGUUUUGUAUUAGGCAGUGAUUUAAAAAGCGUUAUGCGUCAAGUCCCGAAAAUGUUCAAAACGCCAGGUGCUCAUCUAAACGCUUGCCCGAGCAAAGCGAGAAACUCUGAAAUAUUAAAAUAUAAAAAUAUAUAAUAUAAUUGAUAAAUAUGAUUAUAUAAAUAAAAAUACGACAUUAAACUACUGUUAACAGUAGUUGGAGGGGGAGAAAAGAACUGUUAAGAGGGGGAGAAAAAGUUAUCGAUUGUGGAACUUUCGAACGACAAUUGCUGCGGUGGAGGAAGCUGCAGAUGGCGGUAGCGGUAGUAGUGGAAGUUGUGGAUGGCAAUAGCGACAACGGUAGAAGCUAUAGAUGAUGACAUCAUGGGUGGAGGAAGCUUCAAAGGUGUCCGUUGGUGGCGGAGGAAGCUAUGAUCUUCUCCCUCGAUGAUGGAAGGAGUUGCACACAGAAGCAGCGACAGCAGAAGGAAGUUGCGGGCAAAGGCUAGGCUAUCAGACCUGUCCAUUGGCGACAAAAGAAGCCUCGGUCUAUUGCAUUUGCGGCAAACCAAAUGUAAAACUUUGUUUCGGUUGCUUCAUUUAAAUCAGGCGCUUACUUGAGGCACUCAACGCUUGGGUUCAGGCGAGCGCUCAGGCCACACCUCACUGAAGCGCGUCGCUUGGUCCACCUUGAGGCAGUUAGGCCUUACCUCCCCCAAGCACCUAGGCGAGCGCUCGAGCAUCUAUUUAUAACCCAUUGAUACAUGAGAGAUUCAAAUUUGUGAUAUUUUGUAAUCUUGUCUUCAUUAUUACUUAUUCACCGAUGCAAUUGUUUCUUACAUUGUCACCUUUGUUAGACAUGGAUUUUAGUAUAAACUUGGUUGAUAAAGAAAAUUCUGGCAAUAGCUGGUAUUAUAGCCAACUUGUGAUUUAGCUGGCUAUUAUAGAAAGAAAAAUAAAAAUGAUAAAAAUUAUAUAAUUAAAGGUUAAUUGUUGGAUAGAAUUAUUUACCUGGUUCGUUGUUACUUGAAGAGUAAAAUUUUAAAACAAAUGCAUACUUUGUAAGAACUUUUAAUACAUAAUAAAAAUAUUUUCUAAUGUUCAUAAAAUACAUUUAAAUAUUAAUAGUUUUUACAGUAAUUUUACGUAUUAAAUAAAAUUUAUGUAUUAAAUAAUAAUAAUAAUAAUAAUAAUAAUAAUUUUUAUACAGUAAACACAUCUUGAUUGAUAAAACACGUCAGUUAGAUAUUUAGUGAUGCACUUUCUCAAUAAUAAGAUUAUAAGAUAAAUUUCUCAUGAUGGAAUCGAACAUGUUUGGUUUACUAAUAACUAUACAUAUAUUUAAAAACUAAUAUGAUAAAUUACAUCAAUAUCAUUGAUUUAAUCUAAAAAAUAAAAAAAAAAUAUUAAUAACAAUCACCGGAAUGAACUUUAAUUUCACUUUGAACCUUUUGUUAUAGAAUAAUAACUUAUUAAAUAAUAAUAUAUUAAUACAUUAGUGACUUAUUUUGUCUUUAGAUGCGUGCUGGUAGUAAUUUAGAAUUAUUUUUACAUUUUAUAAAAUUUUGUUAUUUUUACACUCUUAAUACAUUAGUGACCUUUAACAUGAUAGUGUUUAUUAAUAAGCAUAUGUGACCUGCUGCUUAAGUCAUAUAUUUUUUCUAAUUCUUACAUUCUUAAGGUGUCGAAUGUUAUCAGUGGUUUGUCAAAUGUCAUAUGGGAUUUCGUAGUGA